UCACUUGCCGGGGUGUUAGGGGAUUGCUGAGUCCUGGGGAGACACACUUGGCUGCUGGUUGCUGCAAGACCAGCUCACCUGCCCGUGCUGCUCCAUUUAGCCGCUGGGGGGCAGCAGAGGCCCAUGCUUGACGGCAGCGCCCUGGCUCCUGCAGCCUCCGCCCUCGGAGCCGUUCUCUGCGGCCAGCGACCAGCUCCUGCUCCUGCAGGGGCAGAAGCUGCUGGGUGGGGUGGAGGCCACACGUUUGGGGUGUUUCAGUCUGUGCUUCUGCUUCUGAAUUCUUCCUUCCACUCUCCCCUGAGCCUUCUCCUAGUAUCCUUUCCCACUCUACAAAUCUUCCCGGAAGAUGAAAGCAGAGAUGUCGGAGUCGGGUGGGGACCUGGAACUUGUCGAUUUCAGUGAAGGAGGUGGACUUUAUCCUAAGGGCCACGGAAAGUUCACUAAAGUGUCUGAUUUGUGUUUUUCAGAAACGUACCUGUGGCUACAGGGAAGCAGACAGUUCAGACAAGGAGCUGCUUCAGUGGCCCAGGUGACACUGUGGCCCCUUGGACUGCACUUUGAGAACCACUGACGUAGAGGCCUGCGGAGAAGUCAGCCACAUACCAGCUCCAUCAACACAUACCCAGAGCUAGAGAGCAGCAGGCUCAGAGGAAUGGCGAACAGUCAAGCAACCCACAGACACGGUGUAGUCGGAGGAGGCACCAAGGAGGCGAGAGACCCAGACGCAUAUCAGCAGAGCUGGGGAGAGACAAGGACCCCAGUCCAUCCAGGGAGGAGACACCUAAGGGACAGAGACAGUGACAUCUUCCCGGCCCCUCACCCCAGCUCAGAGAAUGACCUCAGGAAAGAGAGUGGUAGACUGACCAGCCACAGACCAGCUGACUGGAGGGAAGAGAGGCGGGUGGAGAUUCACAGUGUGUGAGCAGCAAGUAGCCAGGGGGAGCUCUAGGGUGUGCUGGGGACAACUUGUACCCCUCAGUUUUCAGGUCAUUUGCCAGUGAAUUGUAAAUCCUCCCUGGUGGGAGGAUUCACUCCAUAUGAAGACCCUGGGAGCCCUGGGUGGUGGCGACUUCAGAAGCAGUGGGUCCUCUUUUCUGGCCUAGGUUUGACCCAUGUGGGACUUCUUGCUCUUCUGCUCAAAGGUCAGGUCCUGCCACCUCCUCCAGGAAGCACUUCUGACUGCUCCACCCAUGGAGCAGAUGCUCACCUCCCGGAAGUUCUAUGGUGUCAGCUUCUCAAGCCUUCUGUGGACUUUUCAGAGCUUUGGUUCAUUGUUGCUGGUGUGACUCUGGGUUGUGUCACCUGCUUCCCAGCCCUCGGUGUCUCCAUGUGUAAAAUAGGCUUCCACAGUCCUUGGAUUGUGGUUUGGCAUCACUCUGACCUCUGAUUCGAUCAUCACAUCUCCUCUGAGUAUGGUCCUCCUGCCUCCCGCUCAGGCCACUCAGAGAAUCCAGUAUCAUCUCCCCAUCUGAAGAGCCUUAGCUCCAUCACAUCUACAAAGUCUCUUGCCUUACAAGGUAACAUUCACAAAUUCCAAUUUAAAAUGGGAACAUCUUUGGUGGGGGCCGUGAUUCUGCCUACUGCAGGCCUGACACCCCGUC